UACGUAGGGUGCAAGCGUUGUCCGGAAUUAUUGGGCGUAAAGAGCUCGUAGGCGGUCUGUCGCGUCUGGUGUGAAAAUCCAGGGCUUAACCCUGGACCUGCAUCGGGUACGGGCAGACUAGAGGUAGGCAGGGGAGAACGGAAUUCCUGGUGUAGCGGUGAAAUGCGCAGAUAUCGAGAGGAACACCUGCGGCGAAGGCGGGUUGCUGGGCCGACACUGACGCUGAUGCGCGAAAGCCAGGGGAGCGAACGGG
rnacentral:rRNA from 1 species